rnacentral:rRNA from 1 species
CUAUGCGCCUUGCCAGCCCGCUCAGAAACUUAAAGGAAUUUGACGGGGGCCCGCACAAGCAGCGGAGCAUGUGGUUUAAUUCGAAGCAACGCGAAGAACCUUACCAAGACUUGACAUCCCCUGACAGCUGUUGAAAGGCAGUGUCUCUUCGGAGCAGGGAGACAGGUGGUGCAUGGUUGUCGUCAGCUCGUGUCGUGAGAUGUUGGGUUAAGUCCCGCAACGAGCGCAACCCUUAUCCUUAGUUACCAGCACGUAAAGGUGGGGACUCUAGGGAGACCGCCGGGGACGACUCGGAGGAAGGUGGGGACGACGUCAAAUCAUCAUGCCCCUUAUGUCUUGGGCUACACACGUGCUACAAUGGCCGCAACAGAGGGAAGCGAGAGCGCAAGCUGGAGCAAAACCCUAAAAGCGGUCCCAGUUCGGAUUGUGGGCUGCAACCCGCCCACAUGAAGUCGGAGUUGCUAGUAAUCGCGAAUCAGCAUGUCGCGGUGAAUGCGUUCCCGGGCCUU